UCUCGCUUGAAUUUGGGAGACUAUCUUUUCCCGUUUCCCCACUCUGGACGCUCUAUUUCGAUAAGCUCGAGGGCGAGCUCGAGCGGCGCAGCAUAGCAGGCUAUUCUCCCCGUCCAUGGCGAUUCUCGCCGCUCGAUUUUGAUUUCUUUUCCCUUUCUCUUUGAUCUCCAGUGUCGCGGUUGGUUGCUCCUCUCUCCCGCUCUCUUCCGCUCUCUGCCCGUGUGCUUUUUGCUUCCGUCUGGUUCCAGAUCUAGUGUAAUUUGUUCUGCACUUGCGGUGUAAUUUGUUCAUCAAGGAAUUCAUCGUCUCCAUCUUGUCCAAAUUCAUGUUAUAGAACAGGUUUGUGUCCCAGGGAUUGGAUUCUCCUCCCCCAUCUUCGCUUGCUGGUAUUUCCUGAUGCAAUUCUUCCUCCAGUGUCUACUAAGAAACUCCUUCAGUUUUUUGUUCUUGCAAGAGGUGAAGAGAGAUGAUGGAUGAGGGAGUUGGUGUUCGACUGUUUUUGCUGUGUGGUCCCUGAAUCAGGAGGGGGUUUGUUUGUCCAGAACGAACCGGGUGGGAUGUUUAUCCGACCUGUUUAGUGAUUUUACUGCUAAUAAAUGUUUACUGUGUUGAUUGGUCA